GCCGGAGGGCGCCAUGUUGUCGGAGGGGGCCAGCCCUACGUGGCGGCGCCGGUGGGAGGCGGGCGAGGCGCCCCGCGCCGGCGGGCGAAGAGCACGGGACAUUUUGUGCUCCUUCAAGGUAUCUGAGUCAAGAUUACAAGUCUGUAUUCUUUUUGAAAUUAUUCUGAAGAAAAGACUGACUACCUCAGAAAGAAGCAACAAUCAAGUCUGAAGUUUAGUGACGAGUCAAUGCUUUGCGAGUAUUCUUUUCUUGGGUAGAAAUGAUCACCUGAAUCACUCAGAACAUCAAAAAAAUAUAUAUAUGUAUAUAUAUAGCCAGAUGAUCUUCAGAUUUGUAUGCCAUUUAAAAAAAUGCAAGGUUAUCAUUUAUUACACGAU